CGUUAAACAUGAUCUAAACUAUUUAAACUAUCUGGAAAUCAAAUUUCACACAUUUUCGAUACUGUUCUCUUGUCCAUCAAGUGAACAGAAAAAUGAAUGGCUGGAAAUGAAUAUUCUUCAAAAAAUGAUGAUACAAUUUUUAUAUUUGAGAUCUAGAGUCUAGAUCUUAUUUUAAAUAGUUUAAAGAAUUUUUUAACAAAAAAUUAAUUGAUUUGAACUCUUCUAUACCGUUAAACGAGCAACCGCACCAUAUCUGCUAUUAAAAUUAUAGAUUUUGUGACCCUUUGAUCGUUCAGUUAGUGAUGUCAAAAAAUCAUGAAAAUUGAUUUCUAGAUAAUUUAAAUGGUCUAGAUCAUGUUCAACGGUGCCGAUCGUCGAUUUGGAAGCUCUAUCAUCAAAAACAAAUCGGUAAUAAACCGAACAGUUUACUACCGAUAGUAGCCCAGUCAAACUCUAUAUAUAUAUAUAUAUAUGUCCAAAUAUAAACAUUACAUGUAGGAGCUUUAUUGAGAACUUUGAUGCCAAAGUUUGGACAAUAAGUAUAUAUACAUUCGCGACUUAAUUAGAUGCUGGGUCUCCGACUAGUUAUGCAUUUCGCCCUGUUCUAAACUAAAGGCUCUUUAAAUGUUAUGGACUAUGUCUAUCGAGUUACAUUUCAUUUCAAGAGCAUAUCAUUGCAUGAAGGUAUA
rnacentral:lncRNA from 1 species